AACCAGAGGUGUAGGCUUUGCCUGCUAUCUCUUACCCAUGUCUUUUGAGUACCUUACGUUUCCUCGGCGGGUCCGCCCGCCGAUUGGACAAUUUAAACCAUUUGCAGUUGCAAUCAGCGUCUGAAAAAACUUAAUAGUUACAACUUUCAACAACGGAUCUCUUGGUUCUGGCAUCGAUGAAGAACGCAGCGAAAUGCGAUAAGUAGUGUGAAUUGCAGAAUUCAGUGAAUCAUCGAAUCUUUGAACGCACAUUGCGCCCCUUGGUAUUCCAUGGGGCAUGCCUGUUCGAGCGUCAUUUGUACCUUCAAGCUCUGCUUGGUGUUGGGUGUUUGUCUCGCCUCUGCGUGUAGACUCGCCUCAAAACAAUUGGCAGCCGGCGUAUUGAUUUCGGAGCGCAGUACAUCUCGCGCUUUGCACUCAUAACGACGACGUCCAAAAGUACAUUUUUACACUCUUGACCUCGGAUCAGGUAGGGAUACCCGCUGAACUUAAGCAUAUCAAGCGGGAGAGGAAAU
rnacentral:rRNA from 1 species